rnacentral:rRNA from 1 species
UCCUAACACAUGCAAGUCGAACGGUAACAGGGAAAAGCUUGCUUUUCCGCUGACGAGUGGCGCACGGGUGCGUAACGCGUAUGCAAUCUACCUUGUACAGGGGGAUAGCCUUUAGAAAUGAAGAUUAAUACCCCAUAGUAUACUUUUGAGGCAUCUUUUAAGUAUUAAAAUUUCGGUGGUACAAGAUGAGCAUGCGUCCUAUUAGCUAGUAGGUAUGGUAACGGCAUACCUAGGCGACGAUAGGUAGGGGCCCUGAGAGGGGGAUCCCCCACACUGGUACUGAGACACGGACCAGACUCCUACGGGAGGCAGCAGUGAGGAAUAUUGGACAAUGGGCGGAAGCCUGAUCCAGCCAUGCCGCGUGCAGGAAGACUGCCCUAUGGGUUGUAAACUGCUUUUGUACGGGAAGAAACCCAUCUACGUGUAGAUGGCUGACGGUACCGUAAGAAUAAGCAUCGGCUAACUCCGUGCCAGCAGCCGCGGUAAUACGGAGGAUGCAAGCGUUAUCCGGAAUCAUUGGGUUUAAAGGGUCCGUAGGUGGAUUAGUAAGUCAGAGGUGAAAGCCUGCAGCUCAACUGUAGAACUGCCUUUGAUACUGCU